AACGAACGCUGGCGGCAUGCCUAACACAUGCAAGUCGAACGAGACCUUCGGGUCUAGUGGCGCACGGGUGCGUAACGCGUGGGAACCUGCCCUUAGGUUCGGAAUAACUCCCCGAAAGGGGUGCUAAUACCGGAUAAUGUCUUCGGACCAAAGAUUUAUCGCCUUUGGAUGGGCCCGCGUUGGAUUAGCUAGUUGGUAGGGUAAAAGCCUACCAAGGCGACGAUCCAUAGCUGGUCUGAGAGGAUGAUCAGCCACACUGGGACUGAGACACGGCCCAGACUCCUACGGGAGGCAGCAGCGGGGAAUAUUUGACAAUGGGCGAAAGCCUGAUCCAGCAAUGCCGCGUGAGUGAUGAAGGCCUUAGGGUUGUAAAGCUCUUUUACCCGGGAUGAUAAUGACAGGACCGGGAGAAUAAGCUCCGGCUAACUCCGU
rnacentral:rRNA from 1 species